AAAAGGAGGAGUACAAUGCAUAAGGUCAAGACAACAUUCAAAAGCAGACGCUAACAAGAGAUAAGUGUGUGUCGCUGUGUGUUAGGACCCUCCCCUCUCCCCUCCUGAGACCAUAAUAUGACCAACCCUUCUGCAAGCACCACCACCACCAACAACAACAACAACAACAACACGAGAGAGAGAGAGAUAGAAGGAGAAAGAGGAAGAAAAAGUAAUAUGCCGUCGGGUCAGGAGAACAAGCCCGGAUACGUUCACACCUCCGGAAAGGUCACAGAGCCGGGAUGUCCAACGAUCAACGCCUGACAGGUCCUCGUGGGCUGAGUAGUCGAGUUAGGAAAGCCAGCAAAGAGGAGGAGGAAAGAAGAGAAGGAGGGAGGAAGAAAAGAUGGAAGGAUGGAAGGGAGAAAGAAAGGAAGGAGGAAAGCCGUGAGGAGGAGAGAAAGAAGAGGAAGGAAACCCAUGUGGAGGAGAGGAAGAGGAAGGAGAGACGUGAGGGGGAACAGGAGGAGGAAUGCUGGGAAAGAGAAGGAAGAAAUGUCGUGAAGGAAAAGAGGAGGAAAGAAAGCCGAGAGGUGGAGAGUUGGAGGAGGAAGCAAAGACGUGAAGGAAGAGAAGAAGAUGAGGAAUAACAACCCAGAUCGGUACAAGAAGACUUCCAUAAUGUACUAAUGUUCACCUUUCUCCUCCCGGUACAGCGAACGAAUGGUCUUGUUUUCAGCCACAUAAUAUUAAAAGCAAGAUUAUCAUACAUUGCCAACCUUCAGAUUAGAGGAAUUAAAAGCUUGCUAAUAGAUUACAGGAAUCGAACUUUGUAGAGAGAAUUUGGUGCCUCUCUAAAAGAUUUCAAAAAAUAUUAGUUUUAAUUGUUUACACGUAAUUGUAAAGGAAAACUACUAAUGUUUGAUUUUACCUUGUUUACUUUUGUUGUUGUUGUUGUUGUUGCUGCAGUUGUUUUCUUGUUUAUUUUUGUUAUUCUUGUUCUUGAUGCUUGUUGUUGUUGUUGUUGUUGUUGUUG